ACUAUGGCUUUUUUCAAAGCCAUUCUGAGAUAUANUGCCAUGCAA
rfam:Hordeum vulgare subsp. vulgare, WGS project CAJW01000000 data, contig: morex_contig_1412437